CCUACGGGAGGCAGCAGUGGGGAAUAUUGGACAAUGGUGGGAACCCUGAUCCAGCGACGCCGCGUGAGUGAAGAAGUAUUUCGGUAUGUAAAGCUCUAUCAGCAGGGAAGAAAGCAAUGACGGUCCCUGACUAAGAAGCCCCGGCUAACUACGUGCCAGCAGCCGCGGGAAUACGUAGGGGGCAAGCGUUAUCCGGAUUUACUGGGUGUAAAGGGAGCGUAGACGGCGAUGCAAGUCUGAAGUGAAAGGCGGGGGCCCAACCCCCGGACUGCUUUGGAAACUGUAUGGCUGGAGUGCAGGAGAGGUAAGUGGAAUUCGUGGUGUAGCGGUGAAAUGCGUAGAUAUUAGGAGGAACAACAGUGGCGAAGGCGGCUUACUGGACUGUAACUGACGUUGAGGCUCGAAAGCGUGGGGAGCAAACAGGAUUAGAUACCCUAGUAGUC
rnacentral:rRNA from 1 species